rnacentral:rRNA from 1 species
UAUCUCUGUAGAGUCUGCAUAUCAAUAAGCGGAGGAAAAGAAACUAGCAAGGAUUCCCCUAGUAACGGCGAGUGAAGCGGGAAGAGCUCAAAUUUGAAAUCUUCAAGGUUCUGACCUUGACGAAUUGUAGUUUAAAGAAGUGUUUUCGGUUAGAGGAGUAGUAAAAGUUCUUUGGAAUAGGACAUCAUAGAGGGUGAGAAUCCCGUAUUUGACUAUUCUUUCUAGCUUUGUGAUACACUUUCAAAGAGUCGGAUUGUUUGGGAAUGCAGUCCAAAAUGGGUGGUAAAUUUCAUCUAAAGCUAAAUAUUGGCGAGAGACCGAUAGCGAACAAGUACCGUGAGGGAAAGAUGAAAAGAACUUUGGAAAAGAGAGUUAAACAGUACGUGAAAUUGUCAAAAGGGAAGCGUUUGACACCAGUGUUGUUUUUCCGAAAAUCAAUUAAAAAUUGAUUCAUGCCAGGUUGUAUUGACCUUAUCAGCUUGCAAUUUGGUUUUGGGUCUCUUUUUGAUGCACUUUUCGGUUAACAAGUCAACAUCAAUUUCCUUUGCUGUAAAAAGGUAAGAGGAAGGUGGCUUCAAUUUCGGUUGAAGUGUUUAUAGCCUUUUAUCUCUGCAGUCGGGGAGAUUGAGGUCUGCAGCGUAGAUCCUUCGGGGCUAGAUACAUUUAUGCUAAGUUAUAGCUUUUCAUAGACAACUUGUUGACUAUGUUUAGUCAUGUAGCUUACUCGUAAGUGCUAUUUUACCUACGCUUAGGAUGUUGAGCGCAUGUCUCUCUCU